UACGAAGGGGGGCUAGCGUUGCUCGGAAUCACUGGGCGUAAAGGGCGCGUAGGCGGUCGUGACAAGUCACUUGUGAAAUCUCCGGGCUUAACUCGGAACGGUCAAGUGAUACUGUCGUGCUAGAGUACAGAAGGGGCAACUGGAAUUCUCGGUGUAGCGGUGAAAUGCGUAGAUAUCGAGAGGAACACCUGCGGCGAAGGCGGGUUGCUGGGCUGAUACUGACGCUGAGGCGCGAAAGCUAGGGGGAGCGAACGGG
rnacentral:rRNA from 1 species